ensembl:snoRNA
GUGCACAGUGAACACCCAAGGAUGCUAAUGUGGCUAACCCUGGUCUUUUUCUAACUGUGCUAGAGUAAAUCUGAUCUGUACCUCUGCAUUAGGAGAGCCCAUUCCUCUCCUACAUGUAUUCAGCGGAUCAGAAUAAUC